UCUCGGGGACAGGGGGGUCCAGACCUUUCUGUGGAGAUGUAGGAGGCAGUACUAAUGGAAAUGUCCAGUGAAAAUGUGAUGAAUCAACUUAAUAACUCAAUUUCCAUCACAGAAAGUCCAUGAAGGGAUGCUGAAGAGCAAGCCCCAACUGUGGUUUACAAGUGACAGUGACAUUUGCUGGCUGGGCAGCUGCUGUGGAUUUAACAGUCUAGAUGCCCUGUUGGACCAGCAGAAAAGAGGGUUUCAGCUGCUGGAGAAGGUACUGGUGAUUAUGGCAUAGAGCCCAAGUCCAAGGCAGCAGGUGGCCCAGUGGAACCACAAGAGGACUCUCUUCCAGGUCAGAGCCAGAGGAAAAGACACAGGAGGACUUACUGCAUGAGACUUUCACUUGGAAAGCGCAAACCAUGAUCUGGGGGAGCAGGUUCCCUGACAAGGGGGUCGAGUCUCAUUCCUGCCUCCAGCUUACUUUGUUUUGUGCAGCUGCUCAGCCUUUCACCCUCCACGCUGCACCUAGAGCCUGAAGGUGGCCAAGGACACAAGGGCCCAAGAACUUCUUGCUUGGGAAGUGAAUUUCUCAGAACUCUGAGAUGAAGCCAGUCUUGGGAGGAGGACAAGGCACUGAGGAGAGACAGUUGGGGGUUACUCCAGGAAGAUCCCUGGAGGAGGAGCAUCGUAGACCACAGCACACUGUUGGGUCAUGGAAAGGCCAUCUCGGCAUAGUACUACAGAGUUCCCUUUCAUCCCCAGCAAGUGACAAGUGAGACAGAAAACCUGUCCCCUAGGAGUGGACAGUGAAAUGCAAAGCAAAAUGUCCACCACCCAGGUGAGAGCCCAUGUCCUGCAGCUGAGAGGGCCCCAGGGGACUUAGGCUUAUCACCUGGAAUGAGUUGUUUUUCUUUGAAAUACUCAGGUCUUUUGCAUGGUAUUCCCAAUUAAGACUUGUGUUCUUUGAGAAAGGCAGAGCUUAAAAUCCUGAAAAAGGCAAAGGGACCCUUUUAGGAAGGUGCGUGUCACUGAACUUGGGAAGAACAUACUGAAAUAACCUGGGGACUCAAGUCAAGGCUGUGGACAGUAGCUCCCGUGGUUGUGAUGGUGCUGUGCCAGUGGCCUGGGUGAGGAAGCAGAGGAAACCUACGCUAUUGAGUGUCUAAGAAGACCCAAUGUCAAGGACGAAUGGUUUAUUUCGUUAGUGGAAGUGACUCCUAUUUGGGACUGAAGCCGUUCACGGAGUCUUACUGAGCUGUGAAGAUGGUGAUGAUGAUCCCCAAAGUGCUGCUAAAAUCCUGCAGACUCUGAGGAAGAAGUAUGGCCUGAUGUGCUUCAUAUGAACCUACAGCUGCAGACUGCGGGGCAGGGCACCUGCCUCUCCAAGGACAAGUCAGUUCAGAAGCACAGCAGCUGCUGCCCCUAGAGGCUUCGGGCCCUCCCUUCCAUGCCUUGGCAUUUUCAUAGGCAGUGCAAUCGAAGCUGCAGAAGGUUCUGAGAUGUACAGACUGGAUUAAGAAAACCUAACAGAAAUGGAGGGAGAAGCAAGAGCAAAAGGUCCAGAGCUCGGGAAAUGUCAUUGGAAAGGCUAGCCAGAGACCCCACUGUGUCCUUCCCUCUAGUAUCCUGGUAUUCUCUUGAGCUGGAAAGCAGACCUUUUAAAAAAAAUAAAAAAUUUAAAGGUGCAA